rnacentral:rRNA from 1 species
AUGUUUGCACUAGCGGCGGUUUCCUUGUUUUCUUCGCUCACGAAAUCCAAAGCCAAAGGAGACAAGGAGGCCAUAAAAGCCAAUGGAAACCAAAAGAGACCAUCCCACUUCACACUCUACAAGCUCGGCCGCCUCCUCUCCUCUCCUGUAUGCUCGCCGCCGGCGAUGCCCAGCCCGCUGAAGCGCCCCUCCCUCGGCCGCCUGCUCGCCGCCCUCCGGUCGCCGUCCCGCGUCCCGGUCCAGACAGGCUUCCCCACCUCCCUCGCCGACCUCGUCGUCAAGAACCAUGGCCGCCUCAGGAAGCCCCGCAAGCCGCGCCGCCCCACCGCCCUGGCGCUGCCUCCGUCUCCGGCGGAGAAUCCGGUGGACGUAGGGGAGAUUCCUUCGCUGCCGCCAUCGCCCGGACCUCUGUCGCCGGUGGUCGUAGAGGACUCCUCGGCCCCGGUGGUGCGGCGGCUGGACGCGCCCAAAGGCGCCGCCUUUUUCCGGCCCCGCCCGGAGCUCCUCGCGCUCGGCGGGGCCGUGGCGCUCGCGCUCCUCGCCGUGUGGAGGGAGGGGGCCGUCGCGGCCUUCACCAUCGCCUCGCUGUCGCUGCUCUGGAUCGAGUCGGCCUCCCGCCGGCGCCGGCGCCCGGCAGAGCUGCCCGAUCCGCGCUGCCCCGCCCCCGUCUCGCCGAUUCGGGUGGUGGAAGAAGCGCCCGGCUGCUCCGAUUCCGACAAGAGUAGCGAGGCCCCCUCCCCUCGGCCCUCGGAGAGGCGCGAGCUCGUCUCCGGCGGCGAAGAUCCGGCCACCCCGAAGAGGAAAGCGAGGAGAUCGCUGAGGAAGGUAAUCUCCAAGACGCUGCAGAAGAAGCCCAAGGCGAAGGACGCCUCGGCCUCUAGCGACGGCGAGGUCGGGCAGCCGGCUGGCGACGCCGAGCCAGUAGUAGCCGAGGCCUUUCUAGCAGUUUCCAACCCGGAGCAGACGCCGUCGGAACCAAGCACAGAGUCGUCGGUGGAGAUGAAGAUGGAGACGGAAAGGCGAGGGGGCAGGUUCCCCCUGGCGGCGUUCGUCCCGGUCAUCCUCGCAGGCCUCGCCGCCGGGAAGCUCCCGGCGACGGCGCUGGCCGUGCUCUGCGUGGCCUUCUUCGGCCGGCACCGUCGAGCGAAUUUAGGCGGCCGGUGA